UCAUAAGAAUAUGACGUUUGGUCUGAUGUGCCUUUCUAGCCCGACUUAGUGGACUUUCUGUCCUUGAAUUUGAUGAAUUUUCGAUAUGCAAAUAAUGGUAGAAGGGAAGGAUCUCCUCUGGUUACCGUGGAAGAAAAGAUCCAGUAAGGCAAAUAUCCUUGCAGUCACAGCGCACACGACAAAAUCUGUGAAAUUGACACUUUCAGAAAAUGAAAGGAACAGCUUUGGCGGACGGAAAGUCUGAGGAGGACCGUUUUAGCGCUAGCGGCAGCUAUCUCACUUUCCCACUAGCUGAUUAGGAACAGACGAGAUCAGAUUCAAACGAGUUUUAUCAGACACUAUGAAGUCAACGGCAUUUAUGUUGGCAAUUCUCAUUUGGGGCGUUAACAUGAUUUGUG